rnacentral:rRNA from 1 species
UAUACAUUUAUCAUUACUCAAGUCAGCAUAGUCUA